rnacentral:misc_RNA from 1 species
GUUUUUCGAUCUCAGGUUCAAGUCAUGAGUAUCUUGUGUUUUCUUUGAGAUCAUAUACAAUUUUAAUUAGUCAAACUUUAAUGUAGAUAUCAAACUUAGUGGAAUAUCGAAAAAGUUUAAAAUUCUCUGGGAUCAACAAAGAUAGAAAGACCAGGCCGUGAUUUAGUCCAGUCACCCACAGACCCGUCACUAUAGUCUUCCCCUAAUCGUUUAAUACACCACAAGUCCUCGGCGCAUGAUAGUUUUCUCCAGUGAGGAAUUCCUAACUUAAGCGGUUCG